UACGAGAGGCCCAAACGUUAUUCGGAAUUACUGGGCUUAAAGAGUUCGUAGGCGGCGCAGAAAGUAGGGUGUGAAAGCCCUCGGCUCAACCGAGGAAUUGCGCCCUAAACUACUGUGCUUGAGGAACCUAGAGGUGAGCGGAACUGAUGGUGGAGCGGUGAAAUGCGUUGAUAUCAUCAGGAACACCGGAGGCGAAGGCGGCUCACUGGGGGUUAU
rnacentral:rRNA from 1 species